ACGGAAGGCAGCAGUGGGGGAUAUUGCACAAUGGGGGAAACCCUGAUGCAGCGACGCCGCGUGAGUGAAGAAGUAUUUCGGUAUGUAAAGCUCUAUCAGCAGGAAAGAUAAUGACGGUACCUGACUAAGAAGCACCGGCUAAAUACGUGCCAGCAGCCGCGGUAAUACGGAGGAUGCGAGCGUUAUCCGGAUUUAUUGGGUUUAAAGGGAGCGUAGGCUGGAUGUUAAGUCAGCGGUCAAAAGGAGCGGCUCAACCGUUCUUCGCCGUUGAUACUGGUAUCCUUGAGUGCGCAAGAGGUGGAUGGAAUUUAGGGUGUAGCGGUGAAAUGCUUAGAUAUCCUAAAGAACUCCGAUUGCGAAGGCAGUCCACUGGGGCGCAACUGACGCUGAAGCUCGAAAGUGCGGGUAUCAAACAGGAUUAGAUACCCUGGUA
rnacentral:rRNA from 1 species